CUAGAAUCAUUCUGAAUAGCUAACCAGGAGGCUGGGCCCCGUGUGGAUCCGCCUCCGCUGGAAAAGCCGCUGCUGGAAGUGCUCCAAUCCAGAGCAGGAUACCUGGGGGAGGAACGGGUUAAGCGCAAAGGGGAAAGGGGCAGCGGGUGCUGAGACGCAGAAGGUGCGGGGACUUCUACAGAGCAGGGAAUCUGGGCCCGGAUGAACUGAUGCCCUGGCCUCUUUCCUCCAGGGACAAGGUCGGUCUCAGGAAAUCAAGGAAUUUAGAAGUGAAGUGCAGAGCAGAGCCUCCAAGAGCAUCGGAAAUGGGAAAAUCUGACCAUAUCAAGUGUUGACAAGGAAAUGGAGCAACUGGAACUGCCAGACACUGUUGGUGGACAUGCAAAGUGGUACAACUUUCAAAAUCUUUUUGAAAGGCCUUGAUUACCCAGCAAUUCUGCUCCUAGAUACACACCUAACAUUGUGUUUCUGUUGAUAGCAGCAGUGUUUAUAAUUGCCCCAAACUGGAAACUACUGAAAUGCUCAUCAGCCGUUAAAUGGAUACAUAAAUUGUGAUAUAUUCACACAGUGGAAUGACAGCAAUGACAGUGAAUAAUCAACUACACACAACAACAUGGAUGACUCUCACAAAUGAUGUUGAGGAAAAGAAGCCAGAGGAUAAAAAGCCAUAUUUGUUUCCAUGUGGAUAAAGUGGUAGAAGGCUGUGCAGUCAAGAUGCAUGUGCCUGUGGGGCACGGUGAUUCACGCCUGUAAUUCUAACACUUUGGAAGGCCAAAGCGGGUGGAUUGCUUGAGCCCAGGAGUUUGAGACCAGCCUGAGCAACAUGGUAAGACCCUAUCUCUAUUAAAAAAAAAAAAAGACGUGUGUGUUUUUCCAUGUGUAUGCAGUAUCUCAACAGAGGGUUAGUAAGUACAUCAAUGGUCUGUAGACAGUCCAAAGCAGCAUCAGA
rnacentral:lncRNA from 1 species